rnacentral:sRNA from 1 species
GACUACUCUGAGCACUGUGGUGGUUGCAACUAAUUGUUCACAAACAUUUGCAGAUUUCUUUGUUCCUUUGCUAGUCCCAGUGUUUCACCCGACUAGCCUACA